UUUUGGUGAAGCGUUAAUUAUUUUGGUUUCCCUGCUUCCAAACCCUUUUGUUUCACCCCAAAGUCCCCAGACCCUUCUUUUUCACCCAAACCCUUCGUCUCUUCCGUCUGAUACGUUCUUCUUCUUCUCUGUUCUUCUUUUCCAUCUGCUUCGUUAUUUUUCUUUGUACUUCAUCUUUUCCAGAAGCAAGGCAAAUUGGAGAUUGCGUUUCUGAAUUUCAAUUGGGUCUUUUCAUUGGAGAAAAGUAGAAAUUUGCAAAUUGCGUUUCUGAAUUGGCAAGAAGGACAAGUAAAACAUACUGUGGAUAGUGGAUAUUGCAAUAGGGUCAAGAAUCUGUCAAACAAAUUGGUUCAGCUUUCGAGGUCAUGGGAUUGGAUCAAGAACGUGAGUAUAAUGAUCACAGUUUUUUUUUUUUUUUUGAUGGUUGCAUAUGUUGUUUCACUCUAUUGUCAAACACGAUGUUGAACCUUGACAAAGAGUGUUAAUCAUGAAAAUCAAUGAUUUUGUUGCAUUAGUAUGUAGUAUGAACAUGAAACAAUAAUUACUCAACAAUCUUCAUAUGAUAAUUACCUUCACUUGUUCCUCUAUUUUGACUCUACGGUCUAGAGCGUAGUGCAAAUUUAUGCUGCCUCCAUGAGUUAUCCCAUUAUAGUUGACGAUGUUGGUUAAACGACUUUAUUUGAUGAACAAAUCUUUUCACUUCAAUCAAGAGCAACCCAUUGUUUCAUGUUUGUAUCAUGCAUUCAUGUGUUCCAUAGUAUACUAAUUCAGUACGGAGUAUAUGUUUUGUCAGGACAUAAAUUCUGUCAAAAAUUCCAUUUUACAAUAUAUUUACACAUGUUUUAACUAAUAAAAUCUGAAUUUGAUCUUUACCCUUGCAAAUGAUUACACUCAUAUACUGGAUCAGGAAGUCGGACAUUCCCUUUUAGCUGUGUUGUUAAUUUAUGUGGUUCAUGGUUAAUGAAACUGUUGCCGAAAAAGGGCAUUUUCAUUCGUCCCUUUUAAUACGGAGCUGUGAAAUUGCCUACUCUCAGUUGUGUUGUUAAUGUAUGUGGUUCAGGGACUAUACUUUGAUUAUAUGCUUAAUAAUUUUUGACAAAAGGGAUGGAUGCUUCUGAAAAUAUUGGAUGGAGAUUGAGGAUCUUCAUUAUACAAAUUAAAAUUCUUUUUGGACAAGUCUGAUGCUUUAUUGUAUUGAUAUUGUUACUCUUCUUAUAUGUAUUGGGUAUUUCUACUUAUCCUUUUGAGACUAUUUACAUUUCUUAUCACUGUCACGUAUAGCUAAGUGGUUCUAGUUGCAAGGCUAUUACUGGAAAAAGUUCAAAUCUUGAUAUUAUUUAUUAUUUGGCUUUGGUAAACUGAAUUAAGGUUUGUGCCAAUAUCCCUCUAAUUUCCACUCUUAGUUUAAUUUUUGUCCUUUUUUCACCAUUUGAAUAUCUAGGGUCUUAAGGUACUUGUUUACGGUUGAAUAUUAUUGUUUGAUGUUCACUAUUUUCAUAUUAAUGCUUUAGAUAUGUGUAAAUUUAAGUUCAGGCUUUAUAUCGGGUUUCGAUUUGUGUAUAUUAAGUAGAAAUUAAAUCAGACUAGACCGAGGAGAUUAUCUCAUUUUUAUUGUUUAUUAUUCUGCAGCUUUAGAAAAUAAGUUUUACUUUCCACUCCCUCAACCUAUAAGGUCAGAUAAUAGGCUUUUAUAGUUCUUUGCGCUCUUAGUUUUAUAUACCCACUACAUUCUUAUGUUUUCCGUCAGUUUCCAUUAUUUAUCACUUGGUAAACCUUUUUGGAAUACCUAUCUUCUAUAUUAUUUACAAAGGCAAUAUAAUUAAGCUUUAGGAGAAUGAGUUCUUAUCAUUUUGUAUCUGAUGUAAGAUUAGACUGCAACACUAGUACUUCAAUUGUUACCCUGUAAUUCUUUUUUCUAUAUAUUUCCCCUUCUUUUCCUCUGUUUUCUCUGUGCCGGGUGCUACAUUAUAGCGGGCUUCUCAUAAAAUAAGGGAGGUCGAUGGCAGCAAGUUUGGCCCAACCAAAUUAGCAAAGUAAAAGCUUCCUGUAUAUUUUACAGGAGAGGUAAUUUCUUUAGGAAAUAUAAGUUGGUUAAGUUUUGGUUAGGGAUUUUAAGUUCAUUUUACAACCAAUAUAAGUUCGAAUAAAGUUUAAUAAGUUCAGAUUAGUUUUGAUAAGGGUAUGUUUGGUUGAACUGAAUUUAACUGAACUUAACUUAUUUGAACUUAUUUUUUUGUACCUUAUUUUUCUUUGUCGAUUUGUUUAUUGUUUCAAAAUUUCUUGUGUUGGAUUGACAUUAUUUGUCAUAUGGAUUUUGAACAGGUUUUAAUUAGUUCAAUUUUUGUGGAUAGUUCAAUUUUAAACAAAUUUUCCACCGGAUUUUCCACUUUCACUAUCAUUUUAUGUUAAAGACUUUUGUAAUAGAUAAGGGUCUACAAUGGGAGUCUUGAUAAAUUUACCUGAAUCAUUGGGUAUUGAAAAAAUUGUCAUUUAUCCAUUAUUCUUAAGGUUUAAUUUUAGUCAUUCAUUUCCAGCUUCUUUUUUCUUACGUAUUUGGGUUUUAUUAAUUGAUAAUAAGUUUCUUUUGAAAAAUGUUACACUUAAUUUUUUGCUUUUGUUGUGCAGGAUGGUGCAUAUAUUCAAGAAUUACAAGCUACUUUAAAUAUGUGAAAAUUUAUAGGGUUUUUGGUACAUAAAUAUUAUGGAGUAGAUAGGUCUUAAUAAAAGAGUAACUGGACCGUGAUUGCAAUAUUUUUUUUAAUGGAUUUAGUUUUAGAACCUAUAUUUUUUUAGUAUUCAAAAAAUUGUAAUAGAUAUUAUGCUUAUGAAAUUAAGCUAUUUGAAAUGUAUACAUUUUUUAACUUAUUUGUUAUGAAAAUCUUAAUAUACGCAGUUCAUAUUUAUUA